GCAGAGGAAGCUUUAGGCGCGGCACCUUCUGAGUCCCCUGGAACGGGGCGCCAUAGAGGGUGAGAGCCCCGUAUAGUUGGAUGCCUAGCCUGUGUAAAGCUCCUUCGACGAGUCGAGUAGUUUGGGAAUGCUGCUCAAAAUGGGAGGUAAAUUUCUUCUAAAGCUAAAUACCGGCCAGAGACCGAUAGCGCACAAGUAGAGUGAUCGAAAGAUGAAAAGCACUUUGAAAAGAGGGUUAAAUAGCACGUGAAAUUGUUGAAAGGGAAGCGCUUGUGACCAGACUUGCGCCGGGCAGAUCAUCCGGUGUUCUCACCGGUGCACUCUGCCCGGCUCAGGCCAGCAUCGGUUCUCGCGGGGGGAUAAAGGCCCUGGGAACGUAGCUCCUCCGGGAGUGUUAUAGCCCGGGGCGUAAUGCCCUCGCGGGGACCGAGGUUCGCGCAUCUGCAAGGAUGCUGGCGUAAUGGUCAUCAGCGACCCGUCUUGAAACACGGACCAAGGAGUCAAGGUUUUGCGCGAGUGUUUGGGUGUAAAACCCGCACGCGUAAUGAAAGUGAACGUAGGUGAGAGCUUCGGCGCAUCAUCGACCGAUCCUGAUGUCUUCGGAUGGAUUUGAGUAGGAGCGUUAAGCCUUGGACCCGAAAGAUGGUGAACUAUGCUUGGAUAGGGUGAAGCCAGAGGAAACUCUGGUGGAGGCUCGCAGCGGUUCUGACGUGCAAAUCGAUCGUC
rnacentral:rRNA from 1 species